rnacentral:rRNA from 1 species
UACUAGAGUAGCACUCGCAUAUCAAUAAGCGGAGGAAAAGAAACUAACAAGGAUUCCCCUAGUAACGGCGAGUGAAGCGGGAAGAGCUCAAAUUUGAAAUCUUAAAGGGUUUCCCCUUACGAAUGUAGCUUAAAGAAGUGUUUUCUGUUGAGGUUUUGGUAAAAGUUCUUUGGAAUAGGACAUCAUAGAGGGUGAGAAUCCCGUAUUUGACCUUUACUUUCAACUUUGUGAUACACUUUCGAAGAGUCGGAUUGUUUGGGAAUGCAGUCCAAAAUGGGUGGUAAAUUUCAUCUAAAGCUAAAUAUUGGCGAGAGACCGAUAGCGAACAAGUACCGUGAGGGAAAGAUGAAAAGAACUUUGAAAAGAGAGUUAAACAGUACGUGAAAUUGUCAAAAGGGAAGCGUUUGACACCAGUGUUGUUUUUCUGAGAAUCAAUUAAAGAACUGUUUAUGCUAAGUUGUUUAGACUUUAUCAGCUAUCUGUUUAGUUUUGAGCUUUUCUUUAAUGCACUUUUCAGUUAACAAGUCAACAUCAAUUUCUUUUGCUGUAAAAAAGCUUGAGGAAGGUGGCUUGAGAUUCGUCUUAAGUGUUUAUAGCCUCUUGCCUAUGCAGUCGGAGAGAUUGAGGUCUGCAGCGUAGAUCCUUCGGGGCUAAAUGCAUUUGUGCUAAGUUAUAGCAUUUUAUAGACAACUUGUUGACUAUGAUUUGUCUUGUAGCUUACUCGCUUAUGUUAUUUUACCUACGCUUAGGAUGUUGAGCGCAUGUCUCUCUCU